rnacentral:tRNA from 1 species
GGGUGUGUAGCUCAGGUGGUAGAGCACUUGACUUUUAAUCAAGUUGUC